rnacentral:rRNA from 1 species
GAUCAUGGCUCAGGAUGAACGCUAGCGAUAGGCUUAACACAUGCAAGUCGAGGGGCAGCAUGAGGUAGCAAUACCUUGAUGGCGACUGGCGCACGGGUGAGUAACGCGUAUGCAACCUGCCCGAUACCGGGGUAUAGCCCAUGGAAACGUGGAUUAACACCCCAUAGUACUUUUAUCCUGCAUGGGAUGUGAGUUAAAUGUUCAAGGUAUCGGAUGGGCAUGCGUCCUA